UAACCUGCCCAAGAGAUCGGGAUAACGCCUGGAAACAGAUGCUAAUACCGGAUAACAAUAGAUGAUGCCUAUCAACUGUUUAAAAGAUGGUUCUGCUAUCACUCUUGGAUGGACCUGCGGUGCAUUAGCUAGUUGGUAGGGUAACGGCCUACCAAGGCGAUGAUGCAUAGCCGAGUUGAGAGACUGAUCGGCCACAUUGGGACUGAGACACGGCCCAAACUCCUACGGGAGGCAGCAGGC
rnacentral:rRNA from 1 species